rnacentral:rRNA from 1 species
AUUGAACGCUGGCGGCAGGCUUAACACAUGCGAGUCGAGCGGGGAAAGGUAGCUUGCUACCUGACCUAGCGGCGGACGGGUGAGUAAUGCUUAGGAAUCUGCCUAUUAGUGGGGGACAACAUCUCGAAAGGGAUGCUAAUACCGCAUACGUCCUACGGGAGAAAGCAGGGGACCUUCGGGCCUUGCGCUAAUAGAUGAGCCUAAGUCGGAUUAGCUAGUUGGUGGGGUAAAGGCCUACCAAGGCGACGAUCUGUAGCGGGUCUGAGAGGAUGAUCCGCCACACUGGGACUGAGACACGGCCCAGACUCCUACGGGAGGCAGCAGUGGGGAAUAUUGGACAAUGGGGGGAACCCUGAUCCAGCCAUGCCGCGUGUGUGAAGAAGGCCUUUUGGUUGUAAAGCACUUUAAGCGAGGAGGAGGCUACCGAGAUUAAUACUCUUGGAUAGUGGACGUUACUCGCAAAAUAAGCACCGGCUAACUCUGUG